rnacentral:lncRNA from 10 species
CAAAGUGCUGGGAUUACAGGCGUGAGCCAUUGCGCCUGGCCUCUCUGUCUUCUUAUACACAUACUUGGGACAAAAACUGUGUCUUAAUCUCUGAUGCUCAGCCCAAUAACUGAUUCAUAGAAGGUAUUUAAUAAAGUAUAACUACAUAAAUGCAUAAUUAAUUACUCAGGCUUUCCUCAUUUUGCAGAAGACUUUAUUUUAAAUACUGAGCUCUCCUAAGACCUUUCUUUGAGUUUCAUGUUAUGAUGUACCAGUCACCCCAGUCUGCUAUUGUUUUAGCAUUAAAAGUCUUGCCUCUCGGGUACAGUGGCUCAUGCCUGUAAUCCCAGACUUUGGGAGGCUGACGAGGGUGGAUCACUUGAGGCCAGGAGUUUGAGACCAGCCUGGCCAAUUCUGUCUCUAUUAAAAAUACAAAAAUUAGUCAGGCGUUGUGGCGGGCACCUGUAGUCCCAGCUACUUAGGAGGCUGAAGCAUGAGAAUCGCUUGAACCCAGGAGGCAGAGGUUGCAGUGAGCUGAGUUGUGCCACUGCACUCCAGCCUGGGUGAUAGAGUGAGACACACUGUCUCAAAAGAAAAAAUUCUUGCCUCUCCGGAAUGUAGCCCCUCAGUCCUGGGAAAACUGGGAUGGUUAGUCACCUUAUAGCUUCUCAAAGUGAAUCUGAAUGCUUAAAAUGAGAACAAAAUAUUGUGACUUGAAAUUAUACUUUUAAAGUUGUAAGGCUGAUGUCAGUUGGAAUUAGUCAAAUGAGUAUAAUUAAAUCACGAAGUUCAUUAACAUGUUUUUUAAGCUGGGCACAGAGGUAUUUUAUAAUGAUUAUACAUUUCAUUUUAUUUUCCUGUGGAAAUGUGUCCUUGCUUUGUAAAAAAUAGCUUUUCAAGACUUGUUUUGGUUGACUCUUGAUUCACAGGAGGUCGAGAAGGCAAAAUUGAAUUUUAAAAUGCUGUUUCUCCUUGGCAUUACACCCAACCAGAUAAAAAGUAGAACACUGACUUAAGAAGCCAGCUGGGUGUCUGAAUAAUGCCACACAGCACAUACUUGACAGAGUUACCUCCAUUUUGUGUUAAUCAUUUCUAAGGAAAAAAAAAAUAGGCUUAAUUUCAUUGGAGCAAACUGAUAGAAUAAAGUAACAGGUUUUUUUUUUUUUUUGACAGUGGUUAUUCAUAACCUCACUUUCCCUUCUAUAAACCCCAAUUUCAAUACCUUCCUCUGUUUGUCAGCAAAGUGUUUUUCAAUAUUGCAACAGGAUAUUAUGCAAAUAUAAAUCACACUGGAUUGGACUAUUUCCUUAGCAGCAAAAGCAAUGUUCUUGCUGGGAUGAUAAGUGUAAAUGUCUCUAAUUAUCCUUUACUACACAGCAGUCUGAGGAAAAAAUCAGGCUACAAAUAGAAAAAUGAGCUAGACUGUAUAUGUUGAAAAAUAGAUUGUUAAUUUAAUUCAUAAAGAACAAAACAGUUAAUUACUUUAUAGGACAAACUUUCUUGGUCUUUUCUGAUUUCAGAUGUAUAUGUAUGUGAUAUAAUUAUCUGUAUCUUUCACAUAGCUUACAGAUUCCAACAAAAUCAUGAUUCUUGCAUAAUUAAGAAACAAUGCUGAGAUAGAAAAGUCAGCCAGACACGGUGGCUCAUGCCUAUAAUCCCAGUACUUUGGGAGGCCAUGGCGGGUGGAUCACCUGAAAGACUAGCCUGGCCAACAUGGCGAAACCCUUUCUCUACUAAAAAUACAAAAAAUCAGCUGGGCGUGGUGGUGCAUGCCUGUAGUCCCAGCUACUCAGGAGGCUGAGGCAGAAAAAUUGCUUGAACCCGGGAAGCAGAGGUUGCAGUGAACCAAGAUCAUGCCACUGCACUCCAGCCUUGGAGACAAAGUGAGACUCAGUCUCAAAAAAAAAAAAAAUAAUAAAUAAAUAAAAAAUAAGAAAAAGUCGUAAGUCAAUACCAUAGAUGAGGCGCUGAGAUGAACACCAAUGCAGAAUGACUGUAAAUGUCAUCUGUUUAUUCUGCUUCUUUCUAUUUUUAAAUAAAAAGAUGGAAGGUAAGAUGUAAUGCUUAGUUUCAAAAUUUUAAAGAGAUAAUUGAAAUGUACCUAUUAGGUCCUUAUAUCUUCAUGGAUCUGUCAGUUUAAGGAAAUGUUUUGGCAGUCAAGGCAAAAUAAGGGAUGCAGAAAACUAUAUGAUGUGCUCAUGUGUAUUGUCCACUUCCACUGCAGUACGUAUUUUGUUCUUUUUUCUAAGUACGAAUAAGGAGAUUUUGCUGACUUUUCAGAAGUAGCCAAAAACGUUUCCUUGUUCCUAAAAUCAUUAACAACAAUAGCUAACAUAGAUCAAGUGCUUACUAUAUGCCAAGCUAACCAUGUGUAGGAGGGACUUACUAUUAUUAUACCAAUUUUAGAAAUUUAAACAACAAACAAAGAAACCCUCAGACUUCACUUAACUUGAUUGUUCAGGGAUUCACAGCUGGUAAAUGGAAAAACCAGCUUUGAAGCUCCUGGUGCCUGAACAAAGCCCAUGUGCUCUACCAAGUCCUCUCUACUAGGAAGGACUUCAUAUGCAUCUAUAGGAAGCUCUGUGUCCACAUUUUAUGCUGACACAGAUCCUGAGACUGGUAUAAGAUUGGGAUAUUCUUUUCGUUUGUGAGCAGAUUUAUAAUGUGUGUAUUUUUCAAAAAAAGUCUUAACAUUAUCCCCAACUAUCUCAUAUUAAAUUAUGGUGUCUCACACAUGAGAUAAAUUUGUAACAGAUUUCUCACUUAUGCAUAAUUAACCAGCCUUUCACAAAAUAUUUAUAGGUAGUUUAGUAUAGAAAGAAAGACUUUAGGAUCAUUACCAUCAGUAACUUAGAUGGCUGUAGACAACCAUUUGUCAUUGACACCUAAUACAUCCUAUCCUAUAGAUCAUGAAAUGUCCUACUUAUUUUCUAUCUAAUCUCACUUGGUAACUGCACUGGUUCUUCCCACAACUUACUCUCUUACAUGCACUGUUGCUUCUUAUAGAUUUAUUUAUAGGCACAUAACAUCCUUUCAGUCAUUUCAGUUAAGUAGUCUCUAUAAAAAAUAAGUUGUGCUGAAUUGCUUCAAUAAACCUUAGCUACCUUGUGGUAGAGAGACCUUUUGGCUUCAUAAGUUGGUCAAAUUAAUGACUUUAAAAAAUCAUAUGAGUAUGUGCUACAUUCUAAGAUUCUCUAUAGUCUAAAUUCUUUCUAGGAUGAUCGGAAGAAAUCCAAGGUAGAAUUGUACAUCUGCAGGUAAGAUUUGAGGUUUAGUCUGUAAAUUAUUUAAUUUGUACCUCAGUGUUUUUGUUUUUUAACUCUUACUCUAAACAGUGUCUGUUUAUUUGUUUUGGUUUUUUUCCCUUUUUAAAAAAAUUUCUGGUUAAACCUGGAGUAAAAUAAACAUCCAAACAAACAUCAGAGGUAGUGUGGGAGAGAAAAAAGUAUAAUAAAUGCAUUUAGUCUAAUAGAAAGAAGAAAGUCAGACACAAAAUAAGAAACGACUGAGCAAGGUUACAUUGUAUAGUUCCCUUUCUCCAAUAUGUAGCCACUAGCCAGAUGUGGCUACUGAGCAUUUGAAUUAUGGGUAAUUUAUUUAUUUAUUUUUAAAUUUUAUUUUUUGAGUUGAAGUCUUUCUCUGUCGCCCAUGCUGGAGUGCAGUGGUGUGAACUUACUUCACUGAAACACCUGCCUCCCGGGUUCAAGUGAUUCUCCUGCCUCAGCCUCCUGAGUAGCUGGGACUACAGGCGUGCGCCACUUUGCCUGGCUUAUUUUUUGUAUGUUUAGUAGAGACUGGGUUUCACCAUGUUGGCCAGGCUGGUCUUGAACUCCCAACCUCAGGUGAUCUGCCUGCCUCGACCUCCCAAAAAGCUCGGAUUACUGGUGUGAGCCACCACGCCUGGCCGAAUUAUGGGUAAUUUAAAUUACUAUGACAUUGGGUUUUGAAGAUUUAUUAUAGAAGAAAAAAUGUUAAUUAUCUCAUUAACAAAUAACAGUAAUUAUUUACAUUGAUUUCACAUCGAAAAUAUUUUGGAUAAUUUUGUUGAACAUUUUUGAAGACUUCUUAAAUAUAAAACAUUAUAGCACAUAGAUGGCCAACAUAAUAUUUCUGUUGAAUGAUGCUGAUGUAAAGCAAGAGAAAAGAGAUUUUUCAACCUUCAUGAUCAAAGAAAGCUUAACAGAGGAAAUGCUGGAGAAGGACACUGUAUAAGAUGCCUGUGAUACAGGAAGGAAAACCUCACUUCCGAGGACCCUUCACCGAAUUGGAAAAACAUACCCAAUCCUGUCAUCCUGAGAUGAACAGUUUCAUCCUGCUCAUCCUUAGAUGAACAGAUUCCAGAUAAUUGCGCUACUUCAGCUUAAAUCUGGAAUAAUUGGAUUCUGAAUUGGAUUGGACACAUGGAACAGAUAUGAACCAAAGCCAACCCAGCCUCGUUGAGCCAGAGCCCACCUGCAGAAUGUGAGCAGAAGAGAAAUGUUUGAGAGAUGCUCAUUAUGCAGCAUUAUUUCAACAAAACCUGACUAAUACACAUACACAAUAUGAUUUAUCUUCACAACAAGUUGAUGAAGAAGGUACUGCUAGCCUCAUUUCAAACAAGGAAAAUGAGGAAAUUGUAGAGCCAAGACUGAAGGUCUUAGGUACAGAAUUAGCUGCAGUGGGGCCUACAAACAGACUGAAAUUCUUCUCAAGGCACUGCUCAAAAAUAAUAGGUCCCUGAAAGCUGAAGCUAGAUGACGAUAUAAACUUCGGAGAGAUCACCACAACAGCUUUUGACAACCUUUGUGACAUUUAAACUGGAAACCAGGAAAAUCUGUCAUUUGCCACUGUCUGUUCUCACUCCAGCUGAAGACGCUUCAAGCCCAGCAUCUAGAAAUCUUCUUGACUGGCUACCCUCAGGACUCAGAAACUGAAUUUAUAGUUUUUUUCAACUAUUAGUCUUCAUUUUUAUUUUAUUUUCAUAGAAAUUAAUCCCUCUUUGUUAAAUCCUGUUGGCUGACACUAUCCAGUAGACAUUCUCUAAUACCAAAUCCCAACAGAUGAGUCAGCUGCUCCUACAUGAACCAAAGGUGACCAAGUGAGAAAAUCUGCUUAUGUUGAACAAGAAAGAGGACUAAUGAAGAUUAUUUCCUGGCUAAACUUUAAUCAGGUUUCUGAAUCUCUUCCUAGGCCCAUCUGUGCACUUUCUUGUAAAAUCCAGUUUUAUCGAAAUGGCCCUGCUAAGUCAGUUUAGCCAGAACACCCAUCUUUGAUAUCAGAUAAUCCUCAAUAUCUGAUCUGGUUCCUCAUUCUUACCACCCGCUAGGUGAUGCCUGAUCACUCUGGCCUGUCUUUAGUAGGAAUUCAUUAGGUCCAUUUAGUCAGAACCCCCCAUCAUUGAUGUUUCCACUUAGUAAUUUUCCAUCCAUUGACCCCCACACUGCUUUUUGAAUACAAAUUCCCACUUGCCCAUGUGUUACUGGGAGUGGAUCCCAAUCUGUCUCCCCAGCUGCAAGACCAUGUUGCAGUGGUCCCUAUACCUAUCACGAUAGUCCUGAAUAAACCAUUUUUAUUGUGCUUUAACAAGUAUUAUUAAAUAAUUUAUUCUUAACACUCAGGAAACUCAGGAUAUUUGGGUGAUUUUAAAAAGAGAAUAAUUUACCCAAAUCGAUAGGUGUUGCAGACACAGGCUCAUGACGAGUCCUUGGUUUGAUCUUCUAGCUUCAAGAGGCUUUUCUAAGUCCAAUCUGGAUUCAUUAUCAAAAAUCCCAGCAAAACAAACUUAAAAAGAGCUAAUAUGGCUAAUCAUUAUUCUUGUCUCGCCUGUGUAAAUGAGGAGUAAUUCAAUUCAGUGUAAUGGAUAUAAAAAAGGCUGAGGCAAUCACCAACUGGAUUUCUGUACCGGAGUGAGAGUCUAUUGUUUCCAGGGUUCAGAGAGUUUCUUCACACCUUUUUAAUAUUUUCUCUUUUCUCAUCAACAGCUUCAGAGAUGAGAAAUCACUUUAGCACUUUCUGUCCAAUUUUCCUUUUAGUACCAUUCGUAGCUUCUGGGCAUCCAUCCUAGGAAACCAAAGUGCCCUAAUGAGCUUCCUUAACUGCCUUAGAGUCCCACAAUGUGUCCUCACCAUCGUCCACCUCCUCAUCAAAUAUGAUAUUUUUUCAACUAGCGAUUGAGCAGAGUAAGACUGAGAUAAAUGUAUCAAUACUAAGGUGUUAAUUUUUUUUUUGGUUUUUGUUUUGUUUUGUUUUUUUAGAGGCAGAGUCUCCUUCUACCACCCAGGCUAAAGUGUAGGGGUGCAAUCU